GGGGGAGGUUCUUUGGAAGUGCUCUUGCCUCCAUCCUGCUCAGUCUCUGCUCCCACAAACACAGCAGCUCCUUCCACCUUCACAGUAAGGUUUGGCCACGUGGAGAAAAACGCCUAAGGGUCUCGUAAUUGGUCCCUGGGUUUUCCGUAACUCAACAGCAGUGCCUUUGAUAACAAGAGUGGACUCAUCUUGUCAGCUAUUCAUGAGGAAUAUUCAAGAAAGAGAACACAAAGGCAUAGGAACCAGGCAGAAAACAAAACAAAACAAAAACCCGAUGAGCACAGCCAAGGAGAACAGAGUGAACUUUAUGAAAUCUCAAGCACGAGUCCACAGGAUGCAUAUGAGAGGAACAAUGGGGAUAUAAUUAGAAUCCUUUGGGGAAUAAUUUAUGUCAAUUCGGAGAACAGAAAUUAAAAUAACUUCAAGGCUUUAAGCUUAACUGACUAAUAGAAUGUAGUGCCUUCAAAUUAAGGGAAAAAAGGCGAAUGGGAAGAGAUUUAGAAAACUGGGAUAUGUUUUGGAGGAGGGAAGAGAAAAUGGGCAACAGGGAUAAUUCCAGGGUGGAAAAUAUUUAACGUGUACCGGAGAAAAGGGUGACCGUAGUGGCUAUUUGUGUGUGUGUUUCUACGGGAGACUGGUUUAAGAAGAGGCACAAAAGUUAGAGAAGAUGGAUCAAAAAAUUGCAAAAGCAUGUCUGUUCGAGCCCAGCCACGGCUUAGGAAGCCUUGUCUGCAGUAAAAGCCUAUUGGUCCACUGGCAAUAUUUUGGAGAACCUGGACUGGCCACUAAAUGUCCACGCGCUUGGAGCCUUUGGUUUCUUGAGAGAAAUGGAGAAAGAAAGGGGCCACGAGGCACCUGAUGCCCCAGUACGUUGAUGUGUAGUUCUCAGAACUCUAGACAGCUUCCUGGCUACUGGUUCCUGUGGUUCUGAUCCUCCCUCGGUGUAGACUCAUCCAGCAGACAGCCUCGGAGGGUUACAAUCCGGGAGUCAGCAGGAGCCGACGUCUCGUCGGAAGCGGGACUGGGGGAGGGUCUGCUUUCAGACGCAGUGCUUGUGGUCCCAUUCGGUUCCCUGGGUGUCCCGGGGAGGGCGUCCCCAACUCUUGCAUCACUUCCGUGACCAGGAGGCCCCAGAGCAGCGGAGCGAGGAGGAAGGACCCAGGGCACAGAUACUCCCACUGCCCCAACCCAGAGCCCGUCAACUGCCCGACACACAGCGAGCCCAUCUAAGAAAACAGGCCCCGGAGUCCAGUCUUAAUCCCACCCCCAAAGCCAUGAGCUAAGUAAAAACAUAGAUGUGAAGCCACCGGUCUGAGGCAGCUUGUUAAGGCAAUGUCGCUUUGUCGAAUAAAACUGAUGCACUUAUUAUUAAUCCUUCUCACAUUUCGCCUUAAAGGAAUCCUCGUUUAUUUUAAGUCAUGUAUUCCUGUUAUUGAGGGGUGGGCAUGUGGGUGUGUGUAUGUUUAGAUGGUUGCAAAGCUUAGUAAUUCAUAUUAUGAUUUUUUUCCCCUUUAAUAGCUCAGCAGUCUUUUUUUCUUCAAUAAUGGAGCCUGUGCUGCUUCAAGAUCCCAGAUGUCAAAUGUGAGUUGUACAGGGAAUUACAUACAAACGGUCGGUUCCCAGUAAAAUUUCCUAGAUGUUAGUAUGACUUGUUUUUCCCACCAAAUUCUAGAUUUUUAAAAUUAAAUUGCCUCCAAUUUAUGCAAUUAGAUAUUAUUUACCCUGCAGAAGAGUUUGAACACGAUGGCUCUUGAUGAGUGCAUUCAUUCAUCA
rnacentral:lncRNA from 9 species